AGAGCGAACGCUGGCGGCAUGCUUAACACAUGCAAGUCGCACGGGCAGGGGCAACUCUGUCAGUGGCGGACGGGUGAGUAACGCGUAGGUAUCUAUCCUUGGGUGGGGGACAACUGUGGGAAACUACAGCUAAUACCGCAUGAUGACCGAGGUCUAAAGGCGUCCGGGGUAACCUGGUGCGUCGCCUGAGGAGGAGCCUGCGUACGAUUAGCUAGUUGGUGGGGUAAAGGCCUACCAAGGCGACGAUCGUUAGCUGGUCUGAGAGGAUGAUCAGCCACAUUGGGACUGAGACACGGCCCAAACUCCUACGGGAGGCAGCAGUGGGGAAUAUUGGACAAUGGGCGCAAGCCUGAUCCAGCAAUGCCGCGUGUGUGAAGAAGGUCUUCGGAUUGUAAAGCACUUUCGACGGGGACGAUGAUGACGGUACCCGUAGAAGAAGCCCGGCUAACUUCGUGCCAGCAGCCGCGGUAA
rnacentral:rRNA from 1 species